GGGGGGGGGGGGGGGGGGGGGGGGGGGAGGGGGGGCGGGGGGGAGGGGGUGGGGGGGCGGCGGAGCGAAGGCGGACGGGGGAGUAACGCGGAAGGAACUGGCCCUGCAGUCAGGGAGAACAGACGGAAACGACGGAUAAGACCGGGGAAAGUCAGGCGGACUCAUGGCCAGCCUGAUGAAAAGCGAUGCUGCAGGAGAGCCUUGCGUCCUAUUAGCUUGUUGGUGGGGGAACGGCCCACCAAGGCGAUGAUAGGUAGCCGGCCUGAGAGGGUGGACGGCCACAAGGGGACUGAGAUCCGGCCCUUACUCCUACGGGCGGCAGCAGUGGGGAAUAUUGGACAAUGGGGGCAACCCUGAUCCAGCAAUUCUGUGUGCACGAUGAAGGUUUUCGGAUUGUAAAGUGCUUUCAGCAGGGAAGAAAAAAAUGACGGUACCUGCAGAAGAAGCGACGGCUAAAUACGUG
rnacentral:rRNA from 1 species